rnacentral:rRNA from 1 species
GAUGAACGCUGGCGGCGUGCCUAACACAUGCAAGUCGAGCGAAGCGCUUAAAUUAGAUUUCUUCUGAAUGACGCUUUUUGUGACUGAGUGGCGGACGGGUGAGUAACGCGUGGGUAACCUGCCUCAUACAGGGGGAUAACAGUUAGACAUGACUGCUUAUACCGCAUAAGACUCCAGCUUCGCAUGAAGCGGUGGUAAAAACUCCGGUGGUAUGAGAUGGACCCGCGUCUGUUUAGCAAGUUGGUAAGGUACAGGCAUACCAAGGCGACGAUCAGUAGCCGAGAUGAGAGGGUGACCGGCGACACUGGGACUGAGACACGGCACAGACUCCUACGGGAGGCAGCAGUGGGGAAUAGUGCACAAUGGGGGAAAUCAUGAUGGAGCGACGCCGCGUGAAGGAUGAAGUAUUUCGGUAUGUAAACUUCUAUUAGCAGGGAAGAAAGUGACGGUACCUGACUAAGAAGCCCCGGCUAACUACGUG